CGCGGGUGUCCGGGUGGCGCAGGUCGGUGCGAGAUGGAGAGUGUAUCAAGUGUAUCACCCUGUGUCGCCCGGACCAAAUGGCUCUUCAUCCCGACUAACAGCGACUCGGAAUGAGCCUGAAAUGGACGUGUGAGCGGCAGCAGAGUGCCGCUGCCGCUGCCUCUGCCGCUCCAGCAGCCGCCACCACCACCGUGCGAGUAGCAAGGGCACUUGAUGGGGUGUUCCCGCCAAGAGGACGGAAGGUGCACCAGGAAAUAAGAGGCCCACGCAGAAAAUACGUUACCAUCUUUUAACAACAACAAUAACAACAGCAGUGCAGCAGAUGGCGAAGACAUGUCCCCAGCUUCCAAACCGCCCAUUCAGCAGCACAGCAAGCCCCGGAAAGACGCCGGUCCCCGCAUAAAAAACACCUUAUUCAGCGAUAUAGUAAAGGCCAAAAGCAGCA